ACUGCUAUAUUUUCACAUGGUUCUAACUCGAAGUGGCCUUUCUCUGGAGCACAAAGUUCCUGGUGAAGAUGUUACAUUAGGCGAAGCUUUGAUGGCCCCAACCGUUAUCUAUGUUAUGCAGGUACUUGACAUAAUAAGCAAGGGUGGGAUAAAGGGGAUUGCCCACAUCACAGGUGGUGGUUUCCCAGACAAUAUACC